ensembl:snoRNA
UUCAUUGUUGUCUAUGAUGUAUUCCUGUUGGAACUGAAUCUGAGUGAUCUAACUCAAAUGUUCGUCACUACCACUGAGACAGCAAUGAC